GUGCUCGCUUUGGCAGCACAUUGGAACAAUACAGAGGAGAUUAGCAUGGCCCUGGCACAAGGAUGAUGUGCAAAUUUGUGAAGUGUUCCAUAUUUUU
ensembl:snRNA U6 U6 spliceosomal RNA